AUUGAACGCUGGCGGCAGGCCUAACACAUGCAAGUCGAGCGAGCGGCGGACGGGUGAGUAAUGUAUGGGGACUGCCCGAUAGAGGGGGAUAACUACUGGAAACGGUGGCUAAUACCGCAUACUAUCGGAUAACCCAUAUGGGAUUAGCUAGUAGGUGGUGUAAAGGCUAACCUAGGCGACGAUCUCUAGCUGGUAUUAGAGGAUGAUCAGCCCAACUGGGACUGUGACACGGCCCAGCCUCCUACGGAGGCAGCAGUGGGGAAGAUUGCACAAUGGGCGCAAGCCUGAUGCAGCCAUGCCGCGUGUAUGAAUAAGGCCUUAGGGUUGUAAAGUACUUUCAGCGGGGAGUCGUUACCCGCAUAAGAAGCACCGGCUAACUCCGUGCCAGCCGCCGCGGUAAUAC
rnacentral:rRNA from 1 species